GGGCCAGGUCGGUUUUAAACGUGGAUAAACUCGAUUUUCGAUUUGGGCAAAGUCAAUUUUUUCGAUUAAAGGCC
rnacentral:lncRNA from 1 species